AUUCACUGUGAUGGUCAUUUAUGUGCUGUGCUUGUCAUUCAUGCACGAGGCUGGUCAUUCAUGCGUUAUUCUCGUCAUUCGUGCUCUAGGCUGAUAAUUCAUGCACUGUGCUGGUCGUUCAUGUACUAGGCUGGUCAUUCAUGCGCUAUGCUGGUCGAAAUGCUAUAAAGGCAUGGAUCAAGUAUUUGAUUUAUGCACAUUUUUAUAAAGUUUCUUUAACAUGACAACAUAUUUGGAUAAGUAUGUGCCUUGAGCUGGUGGGGGGCAUUUGUGCUGAAUAAAAUAAUGUAAUAAUUUAAUAAU